AUAAAUGUAAGUUUAUUCUUACAAGUAGUACUAUGCAAAUUAAUGAUUUUGUUCUUGUUAUGCUGGAAAGU
rnacentral:tRNA from 1 species